rnacentral:tRNA from 1 species
GCGCGUAUGGCGGAAUUGGCAGACGCACCAGACUUAGGAUCUGGCGGGCAACCGUGGGGGGUUCAAGUCCCUCUACGCGCACCA